rnacentral:lncRNA from 1 species
CAGGACCAGCUGGGGGAGGCUGUGUGUGUCAUAAUGAGCUCUUGGACAUAGUUCUGUAGACAAUAGAGAGCCUUUUAAGUAGAGAAGUGUCAUGAUCAGGUUUGUGUUGCAUAAAGAUAACUGUUGGCAGCAUGGAAGGAUGGGUUAGCCAUGAGGAGAGACCACCAGAGGUGGGCAGCCCACUCAAGUGAUAAUUGUAGUCAAACUUAAAUGGGAUUCAUAUAUGAUUCAUGGCAUUAAUGGGAUUUAGUUCAUGUAUAUAUCUGGGAAAUACAAUGUGGAGGCAGAGAUUGCAAACCCUAGAACUGAAUCAUUGGCUGAGUCUAGACCUGAAUUAGUGUGGUCCAAAAAGGCCCAGAGACAGGGUACACAGAGGUGAAACCUACCUAGCUCCACGGCUUCCUAAGUGGUGAAAAUACUGCACCUCCCUAGGCCUCAGUUUCUUAAAUGUAAAAUGGUUUAGUUCCUAUGGCCUGGGGAUGUGGUACUUACUUUCUGAGAUAAUCCUUUAAAAGUGCUUACAAAUUGGGCAUCAUAGUAUCAUAGUUCAGGCCUGUCACCCCAACUACUUGGGAAAAUUGUUUCAGCACAGGUGUUUGAGGCCAGCCUGAGCAAUAAAGAGAGAUGCCCAUUUCAACAACAACAACAACAACAAACCAUUGUGCUCAUAAGCUGUUUCACACAUUAAAAUUUAUUUUGGUUCUUUUAAUUGCUAUAAUCUCAUUUUUAAUUGUGUCUAGUAAAAAGGUAUUUUAAAAAUCAGAGACAAUAUCUUAAUUAUCUAUGAUUUCAUCAUCAUGGCCAAUAAGCAGUCAAUAAAAUGUGUUGAAUAUUAAUGCCUUAAUAUUAAUAAGCACUUUAUUCUUGUUGAAAAUUGGCAUUACCGUUUAAGGUUAGCGUUUUGUGGGCAUUCUCACAAGAACCCUAUAAGGUAGAUAGGACUGUCCUCAUUUUACAGAAGAAAGUCUGGAGGCUUAGAAUGUUCAGUGAAUGUCUUAAGGCCUACCAAGGCCAGAAUUCC